rnacentral:misc_RNA from 1 species
GUAUUCAAGAGUAUCAAGGAAAUAAACAAAUGCAUAAUAUUUGGCGCGCAAAAAAAAGAAUAAUAAAAAUGCAUUGCUUCUUCUGAUUGGUGGAUCUAACGUCGAUGUAAUACAGAAGAAUUGAGUUGCUUUUCAAAUGAUUUAACAAUAUGGCGUAGCAUCGUUUGAAUUUGAACGUUACGUGACAACAGACGGAAGCCUCUAGGAAAUGUGAAAUAACUUUUUUACUCUCUUCUAAUCUAACUUGUGAUUUAUUUUAAGUAUAAAUACUAUAGGAAUAGAGAAACUUAAAAGCAUUUUGGAUUCUUAUAUAUUUGAAGAUCAUGGAUAAUUUUGUUAAGAUUGAGAAAAUUGGUGAAGGCACAUAUGGUGUUGUGUAUAAGGGAAAACACAAAAAGACUGGUGAAAUUGUAGCCAUGAAAAAGAUUCGCUUAGAAAGCGAUGACGAAGGUGUGCCAUCGACUGCAAUCAGAGAGAUUUCUAUUCUCAAGGAGUUGAAACACCCAAAUAUCGUUAGUUUGGUCGAUGUGCUCAUGGAAGAAUCUAGAUUAUACCUUAUAUUCGAGUAUCUUACUAUGGAUUUAAAAAAAUACAUGGAUAGUUUGGGAAACGGUGUAAUGGUAGACCCUAAAACGGUCAAGUCCUAUUUAUUCCAGAUAACACGAGCAAUUCUAUUCUGUCACAAGCGCAGAGUUUUACACCGGGACUUAAAACCACAAAAUUUAUUAAUUGGCACAAAAGGAGUUAUCAAAGUAGCAGAUUUUGGAUUGGGAAGAGCAUUUGGAAUUCCUGUCAGAGUUUAUACGCACGAGGUAGUUACUUUGUGGUACAGAGCACCUGAAAUUUUGCUCGGUGCCACUAGGUAUUCUUGCGCUAUCGAUAUGUGGAGUGUUGGUUGUAUUUUUGCUGAAAUGGCUAUGAAAAAGCCAUUAUUUCAAGGAGACAGUGAAAUUGAUCAAUUGUUUCGAAUUUUCCGCAUUUUAAGAACACCAACGGAAGAAAUAUGGCCUGGCGUCACACAAUUAAAUGAUUAUAAAACAACAUUUCCAAAUUGGGUAACUAACAAUCUAGCAGCCCAAGUUAAGAAUCUUGAGGAGGAUGGGCUUGAAUUAUUGCAAGCUAUGCUUAUUUACGAUCCCGUUCAUAGAAUAUCGGCAAAGGAAGCUUUAAAACAUCCUUAUUUCCAAGAUUUGGAUAUGAGAAAGUUACCACCUACAUAAUAAAAUGGGAGAACAAGAAAAAACGAAGAAAUAUAUGUUCGUUGUGUUUCUUUAUGACGUCUUUAAUCGUGCGACAAUAUAAAAAGAUAUAUCUUAGAAUAGCGGAAGGAUGUGAGAUAAGGUGUUUGAGUGCAAACAUUCCUUUAUUGAUGAAUAUGACUAAACAUGCUCAUUACAUACUAUUAAGCUUUAUAUUAUAUCAAGUCAUUUGUCGAAAUUUAUUAUUUGGUGUUUUCAGUACAUUUACGCCUUUCAAUAUGUGUACUAUAUAUCAUAAGUACAGAUCAAGAGAGAAUUUCGAUGCAACGAUUACAUGAUAUUACACUAUAAUAUUUUAUAUCUAUAUUGACAAACAAGAAUUUAUCUAAACUAUACUUAAUAUUUGUAAUAGAAUAUUAUUAGCAACAUCAUUUCAUCGUCUAUAAUUUAUAUUUUAAUUAAGUAAGUUUUUUCUUUCUUUGUACUGCCCUUUGAUAUUUAAUAUGUGAACAAAAAUGUGAAUACGAGUGGAUGAAAUUUAUCGAUUUGUUAUUAACUAAAUAAUAUAGUAAGCAUUUUUAUGGAAAUCAAAAUAAACAGAAAAGAAAAGAACUCUCGAUAAAUAUAUAUAUAUAUAUUCUUUAGAAUAGCGUAAUUUUUGUAAAUUAUUUUUAAAAUACAGGACAAUUUUUUGUACGCAAAGCUUUUCAUUUAUACAAUAUUAUCAUAUAAACUAUAAUUGACCUAUGUACUACAGGUUAAAGAUUUUGUUAAUUAUAAUGACUCAGUUAACUGAGAAUUACCGACGUCUUACCAUUUCAGCAAAAUCUUAUUAGGAGAUAUUACUAUUUAGGAGAAGGAAUGGGAAGCCAAAUAGAUAAUUAAUGAUUCUUAGAAUCAUAUGCUCUAAACUAAUUUCUCUUAUAUGUCGACUAUGCGUCAUCGUGAGCAACAAUAAAAUUGACAUCUUUGCUACAGUUGGAAUGGAACACAUUAUUUGUUCUUUCCUGCAUGUAACUCAUUUAAUGUAUGCGUGACGUAU